AAGACCCUGCGAUGUGCGAGGGCCACCGAAGUUUUGAGCCAACACAUUUUCUGCGGGAGCUUGGGUCAUCUAUUGGAUUGGGAGCCUUUAUUAGGAGGAUCUAUGAACAUAGGUGCAAAGCACCCACCUGCUUUUGAAUACGAGCAGGUUCAAAACUUAGGAGCCACGGCAUAACGGGGCUUUU
rnacentral:other from 1 species